UGGGGAAUAUUGGACAAUGGGCGAAAGCCUGAUCCAGCCAUGCCGCGUGUGUGAAGAAGGUCUUCGGAUUGUAAAGCACUUUAAGUUGGGAGGAAGGGCAGUAAGCGAAUACCUUGCUGUUUUGACGUUACCGACAGAAUAAGCACCGGCUAACUCUGUGCCAGCAGCCGCGGUAAUACAGAGGGUGCAAGCGUUAAUCGGAAUUACUGGGCGUAAAGCGCGCGUAGGUGGUUCGUUAAGUUGAAUGUGAAAGCCCCGGGCUCAACCUGGGAACUGCAUCCAAAACUGGCGAGCUAGAGUAGGGCAGAGGGUGGUGGAAUUUCCUGUGUAUCGGUGAAAUGCGUAGAUAUAGGAAGGAACACCAGUGGCGAAGGCGACCACCUGGGCUCAUACUGACACUGAGGUGCGAAAGCGUGGGGAGCAAACAGG
rnacentral:rRNA from 1 species